AAGAAAUUCCGGAUUGGACGAUUAGCAGCUUCAAUUAGAAACUUGAUCAUAAGGAGACAAUUUAAAAUUUCACACAUCGAAAAUGAGCAACAAAUGAUGAAAAUGAUUCGCAAAUGAUUGGCAAAUAGAAGGCGCACAGUUCCAAUUACCGAGGUGGAACAUAUUAUUUUACAAGAACCAUUGCUGGAUCUGGGAAGGAAUUCCAGCAGAGGGUCUGAUAAAAACAUAGAGGAAAGAAAACUAUCAGAAGAAGAAAAAAAUGUAUUAGCUUGACAGCAUUGAACACUAUAUAAUGUGGAUAUUUCUAUUAAUGAAAAAGUGACAACAUAAGGAAUGAUUUCUCAAAAGUAGUAGCAUUAUCACUCAAAAUUCGACUUACUGAGUAUGAACAAAUAGGUA